rnacentral:rRNA from 1 species
AAUAGGUUGAAGCUGACUUUUCGGAGUAUGUGCUCGCCUUUUGUAACUUACUACUUUUCCACUUGUGAACCUUUGUAGACUAUGAAUGAAAUAAACUCAUCUGAAAAUGGUGGUUAAGAGAGGUUUGUUCUUACAGAGCAUCCUUUUGUUAGUAGUUCAUAGUCUAUGUUAUAUUUACCCUUGAUUGAAUGUUAAUGAAUGUCAUUUUACUGGUCUUUGACCUUUAAACUUUAAUACAACUUUCAGCAACGGAUCUCUUGGCUCUCGCAUCGAUGAAGAACGCAGCGAAAUGCGAUAAGUAAUGUGAAUUGCAGAAUUCAGUGAAUCAUCGAAUCUUUGAACGCACCUUGCGCUCCUUGGUAUUCCGAGGAGCAUGCCUGUUUGAGUGUCAUUAAAUUCUCAACCUUAUCAGUUUUUUAUUAAAUUGGUUCAAGGCUUGGAUUUUGGGAGUUGCAGGCUUCUCUUUUGAAGUCAGCUCUUCUUAAAUGUAUUAGUGGAGACUUGUAACCGUCGCCUUGGUGUGAUAAUUAUCUGCGCCUUGGUGUAUUGGUGACUAGUAAUGUCUUUGCUUAUAACAGUCCAUUAGAUUGGACAAUCACUUUAUGACUUUUGACCUCAAAUCAGGUAGGACUACCCGCUGAACUUAAGCAUAUCAAUAAGCGGAGGAAAAGAAACUAACCAGGAUUCCCCUAGUAACUGCGAGUGAAGCGGGAAGAGCUCAAAUUUAAAAUCUGGCAGUCUUUGAUUGUCCGAGUUGUAAUUUAGAGAAGUGUUACCCGCGCCGGACCGUGUACAAGUCUCCUGGAAAGGGAGCAUCAUAGAGGGNGAGAAUCCCGUCUUUGACAUGGACUACCGGGG